rnacentral:rRNA from 1 species
AGACCCAACAACUAGCCCACCCCCCUUAAAACAACAAACAACAUCCAUAACCCCUAAAACCCCAUUAUAACUAAACAAACCAUUUUUCCCCCUUAGUACGGGCGACGGAAAAGGAAAACAGGCGCCAUAGAAAAAGUACCGCAAGGGAAAGUUGAAAGAGGAAAUGAAAAAACUCAGUUAAGACAUAAAAAGCAGAGAUAACACCUCGUACCUUUUGCAUCAUGAAUUAGCCAGUACCCACGAGCAAAAUGCAUUUUAGUUCGUAACCCCGAAACUAAGCGAGCUACUCCAAGACAGCCUAUAACAGGGCAAACCCGUCUCUGUGGCAAAAGAGUGGGAAGAGCUUCGAGUAGAGGUGACAGACCUACCGAGCUUAGUUAUAGCUGGUUGCCCAAGAAUUGAAUAGAAGUUCAGCCUUUUAACAUUCUUAAUUUAAAAAUGGUGCUACCUCCACCAAAUAUAAAAGAACCUUAAAAGAGUUAUUCAAAAGGGGUUCAGCCCUCUUGAAAAAAGACACAACUUUUAUAUGCAGGCUAAAGAUUAAAAGAAAUAAGGUAAAAUAUCUGAGUGGGCUUAAAAGCAGCCACCUCCCCAGAAAGCGUUAAAGCUCAAAUAACUUAAAAACCCCCAAUAUCAACAAAAAUAUCUCAAACCGCACAAAAUAUUAGGCUACUUUACGCCCCCGUAAAAGAAAUACUGCUAAUAUGAGUAAUAAGAGGGCUAAGACCCUCUCCCCGCACCCGUGUACAUCAGAACGAACCAACACUGAAAAUUAACGUCCCCCAACAAAGAGGGCAAUAAGACACAUAUAUUUAAACUAGAAAACCCCUCCACCCAACGAAACGUUGACCCAACACAGGUGUGCCUAAGGAAAGACUAAAAGAAAAAGAAGGAACUCGGCAAACAACGGCCUCGCCUGUUUACCAAAAACAUCGCCUCUUGCAUCCCCCAUAUAAGAGGUCCCGCCUGCCCUGUGACCAAAAGUUUAACGGCCGCGGUAUUUUGACCGUGCGAAGGUAGCGUAAUCACUUGUCUUUUAAAUGGAGACCGGUAUGAAUGGCAUAACGAGGGCUAAGCUGUCUCCUUUUUCCAGUCAAUGAAAUUGAUCUUCCCGUGCAGAAGCGGGUAUAAAAACAUAAGACGAGAAGACCCUAUGGAGCUUCAGACACCAGAACAGCCCACGUCAAUACUCUUCAAACUAAGAAGACAAACUAAAAGGACCCCUGUUCCCCUGUCUUUGGUUGGGGCGACCGCGGGGCAACAAAAAUCCCCCACGUGGAACGGGACCUUACUCCCUAAAACCAGAGCCACAGCUCUAAUAAACAGAAUUUCUGACCAUAAGAUCCGGCAAUGCCGAUCAACGGACCGAGUUACCCUAGGGAUAACAGCGCAAUCCUCUUUUAGAGCCCAUAUCGACAAGAGGGUUUACGACCUCGAUGUUGGAUCAGGACAUCCUAAUGGUGCAGCCGCUAUUAAGGGUUC